CAAUUGUGCUUGUGCAGUUGUGCUGUAAGAUGGCGCGUAGAAAUACUAACAUGUAUGACAUAUUCAACUUCCUAUAGUCAGGAUUAUUAAUGUGUGUGCCUAUCGUUCAUCAUAUAUAUUCAAAAUAAGCCUUCGUAAUUAGAUAAUCAGAACCUUUACUCGCUUGGUCAUAGUGAAUCAAAGUUAUGGCAAUUUGGUACUUGUAAACUUACAAACUUGUUCGCUGUGUUUAUGAAAUGCAUUCUACUCUGGCAUAUGUUAUCAUUGUUUUAGUCUCUUAGUAGGGUUAUUUGAACUCUUAUGGUUUUGUGUAUGUACAAUGAAUAUAAAAUUUGACUACUUUCUGUAGAUUCUUGAUGGAACGACACAUUGCGGGGAGGCUUCGUGGAGGUUACUGGAGUUUCCAGUACUCAUUAUCUUGUACCAAAUGUAGCUUCAAAUUUGUAGUCUGCAAUUGUCUUUUUUAGUUGUACAUUUUAAAUAGAUUAUUAUUAAUGUCUCAUGUAGUGCUUAGAGUCUGUCAUUACAUAGAAAUUUUAUAGCUGAUACCAAAAGAUGUUUUCUGUGACUAUUUUACUUUGCUAGAUGAUAAAUGAACUUGACUUUGAAGAUAAGCUCUACCAUCCGCUAUCUAGUUAUUGCCUGUAGUUUUGCAAUUUGGCAGUCUUGGCUGAGAACUAAUAUAGACGGAAUGCAAUGCUUUAUUAUCCCACCCCCUCUUCCUCCCUCACCUCCAUUCGUUUCGUUAGAUUUUAUACCAUCGCUCUCUCUAAAAACUCUUCAUUCCUGCCUCUCAAUUUUAAAAACCCCCCCGGAGCCUGCGACGGGUUCUCUGCCCCUGCGCGGAUGGAGUGACAGAAGUUUUGAGACACAAUCGCUCUCUCUAAAAACUCUCCAUUCCUGCCUCUCAAUUUCAUUCUUCUCAAUUUUAAUCUCCCCCUCUCUCUCUCUCAAUUGCAUUCUUCCCAAUUUAAAAAACUACUAUUGUUUUCUUAUUCCUCUUUUUAUAUCAUAAGAUAAUAAGAUAGCCCUGCUUUCGAAAAUAUUUGCAAGUUUGCACCAAACAAUUGCAAGAUCUGUACCUGAAGCCCUAUUGUAGUAAAAUAAUAAAAAAAUAAACGGGGUUGCAUCUUGGUUGGGAGGAAUUGCAUUAGAUUGGCGCAGAGUACUGUAGAGCCGAGAUAUACUAAUACAUGAUGAUAUGGAAGCCUUAUUAUCUUUGUCAACACAACUUUACGGGAUCUGGUAACUUUUUUGAUAUUAUAAUCGCUCCGUGCCGUUCUUGUUCUCGACUAAGUAAAAUGGUAUCGAGUCGAACGCGAUUAAAUUGAAUUCAACUACAAAAUUUGAAUUGAUAUUCUAACAAGAAAUAAAUUAAAAGACUCAGGUCCCUGUCAUACGAGUAACGAGUUAGGAUAUAUUAUUAGCGAAUUUCCCAGUUUGAUCCUAAAAUUUUGAUGGAUAUACAGGAGAGUUACAUUGUUAUUUAAAGAUAAAUUGUUUGAAUUCAUUUGUCUCGACCAACACAUUCUUCGCUGAAUCUAUAUUAUUAUUAACAAUCGAAUAUUCUGGCAGCGGACGAACAACCAAACCAAAAUUUGGGUUUCUGCUCACUCACUCAUACCCAACUAAAAAGUUUGAAUUUGAUCCAUCUGUAAAAUGUAUACGAGUAAAAUUUGAUGUGCUCGACGUUUUACCUAGCCGCUGCAUAUGUCCGAAGUUCAUAUAUUUUAUAGUUCAAUUUAACUCCAUUAAAGAAUAAAUAAGACUAAUCAUUAUAUUCUAACUAAAAAAAAAGAGAUAUGAAAGUCCUAGCGAGUACUGCAACUCACGUUGGGCUUGAUAAAAGAACUCUAAUCUUCCGAGUUGAAGCUCAACCAGAUAAUUAUUGAAUCAACGAUCAUCGAGCCAUAUUCAAAUAUAUUGUGAAGUAUACACAGUUUAGUUAUUUAACAUCCUGGUUGUGUAAUUAAAUUAUGGGUGACAAUUUCGGGUAACGGGUCGUGUCAGCAAUCAGGUCAAGUUAAAAUCAUUUAAAAUUAAAUAAAAUCUGAAAAUUGAAGUUAUUAGAAACGAAAUUCUAAUUUCGGGUCACUUCGAGUCAUUUCGGGUCUAUUUUGUGUCAAUCGGAUGAUUUUCGGGUCACUUUUGAGUUUUGUCUCAGUAAAUCAGGUUGCGGGUUCGAUAUUGCCACCCCUAAAUUUACAAUGUAUAACUAUUUUACAUAAUUAUAUGCUAUAUAUUAUGAACAGCAACUAAUUAUACAUUAUAAUUAUUACCGAUUACCGAUAUAAAUAUCUCGAACCUGUUUUCAGAAUGCCGAUAACUCGUUCAUUUGGCCACCUCUGCUCGAUACACACAUAAAAUAAACAUCAUCACAUGUUAAUGCAGCCCGAAAGCAGUCAAGUAAAUAAACAAAUGAUUGACACAAGAAAAAACAUGUGGAGUACAAGAAGCCGGGUAAUGGUAGCCGAUUUCAACACAUCGGAAUAAUGCAAAAUCUAUCUAAUUAGCUUCCCUGAUUCCCAUAACCUACUUAGCUUUCAAUUAAAGUCUAUUACCUAAUAAUCGAUAUUUGUGCAUAUAAUUUUCUUUUUAUAAUUCUCGUCUACUCGUUCUCUUUGACAAAGAUAGAUUAAUCCCAUUUAUGUACAUAAUUUUUCGUUUUUAAAAUUAAAUACACUCAAAUACUCUUCUCUUUAUCAAAGCUCAAGACUCGACAUUCCACGGGGAGAGGCUGUUGCUUGUAUUCUAUGCAUGUACAUGUACUUGUGAAAGAGAUGGACAGUGCAGAGCUUAAAGGCUUGCCUGUUUUUAACGUGACAUCUAUCCGGAUUGUAUAAUUACGUUGUCGGGGCAUGAAGCUUAUACAAAACGAGAGUUUUGGAUAACCUCUGGGGCUGUUCGGGACAAUAUCAUCAUCUUCUUCUCAUAAUUAUUCACUCUUUUGUGUGGUACACCGUAUAACCAACUUUAACAACACUCUGGAAAUAUGAAAAAGAAAAAUGACUAAAAUAAAGGGAGAAAAGAUCAAGAUUUCACAAAAUUUAUAAAUAAUACCCAAAGUAACAUAAUCAAGAGAAAUGACCCAAAAUGUCAUUUAUUAACGUUGGAUAAUCUAGUGUUUUGAUUUUUGAAAGAAAACGCUAGAUGGUGUCGCGUAUCUGUACAAAACGUAACACGACAUGACNAUUAUAAAAUGUAAUUUGAGAUCCAGAAACCUAGCAUAGCAGUCUGUCUACAUAUUUUGAAUGAGAUCCUAGACACUAUGGCUACAAGUGAAUACUAUAGUUUCUGUUGGUAUCGACUAUCGAGGCUCUUGGCCCUUGACUUGAUGUGUACUUGGCCAGGCUUUUAUGUUGUUGGUAUUUUAAGUUUAGACUUAUCCGUUAAAUGGAGAGCUGGUGAUCCUCUUUAAAUUGUUUUUGACAUGUUUCUUGUAAAACUGGUAUGACUAUGAUAUUUAGAAUCUAUGACAAUCUGAAAGUAAGCCGGCAUAUUCACAGAGAAGUGCAUCAUGUUUGAUUGAUCGUGCGCAACUUGUCAAUUUUUUAGGUAUAUGAGUCUAAUCAUGAUACUGCAUUAAAGGCUGGUUUGAUUGAAGGACCCUGUAAAGUUCUUCCACCACGACUCUUUGCUGAAGAAAAUCAAAGGAAAAUUCGUCUAGGGAUGGAAGCCAGUGGUAGACUACAGCCCCUUUUUGUUUGCAAGUAAGUUGCUGUUUCUUUCUGUGGAUUUUUCAGGUGUCGAUCCAGUACAAAUAUGGGUUAAGCAAGUGUGCAAAAUACAGACUAAAAUAUUUACUUUGAAAUCUUGAAAUGGUACUAGGUAAGCUAGAGAAAAUGGACAUGAUGAGCUGAACUCAGAUAAGAAUGGUGAAACAGAUAAACAAAGGGAAAAUUUGUUGACAAAUUAUUUACUUUUGUAGUUGAUAUUCUAGGAGUGGAAAAGUUGAAUUAAGAGGCUAUUGCUAGAUAUUAAAUCUUGUUUGUUUCAUUUAACUUCAGCACUGUGCUUCUGUAAGUGCUUGUUAACUUUGUAAAUAUAGAAUAUUCUAAAUUGUUUACCUUUUCUCUGAACAUCUAAUUAUUAAAUUCCUAAUAUUCCUUCUCUAAAAUUUAAUCUUUUAUAGUGAUAUGUAUUUAUGAUAUCGGUAACAAAUUAUAUAAUCUUAUACAACAGAGAAGAACUCCUUUAUCAAUUAUAUAAAUUGAUUAUCCAGAACAAUUUUUUUGUAUUUUUUUUUGAAAUUAACUAAAUAUUGCAAUUUUUUUUUAUCUUGUCUCCUCUGUUUACUAAUCUAUUACCACCUCUCUCUCUCUCUCAGAUGGUUCUUUGAUGAACGGAAAGGGCUUUUCCGUGAUGUUACCAGUUGAUUUAGUUGCACAUCUAGGCCGCAAAGUUUUAAUGUUAUUUAAUUUGCUACUCGGCGGCCUCCACAACUGUAUCAGGUACUGAACUACCUAUAAUUAGCAGCCCCGUUUCUGUUGUCGGCUUUACCAUCAUUCCAGUAAUUGAUUAUGUUGAAGAAUGCUGAUUUAAUAAAUCACUGAUAAUGAAUCAAACGCAAGCACCAGUAUGUGGUAUAUCAUUCAGGAAAAAGUGUAUUUUUCAAAUCAAACUGGUCUAUAUUCUGUUCAAACUCUUGGCAAAUUCAUUAUUCCCCAGCACAAUAUCAAAAACUCAUUUGUUUUUCUAAAAUCAAACUGGUCUAUAUAUUGAGAACUCAUUUUUUGGUACAACCUGACACAAUAUCUCGUGUUCUUACAUUCUCGUUAGCAUGCUACUGCUGCCUUGCUCUAGGCUUCUAUCAAGUAUCAAGUACUCCCAAUGUGUAGUACAGUUGUAUAAUUUAACCAUGCAUGCCACUAGAUCCUGGCCUCAGAGUCCUCAUCCUAAUCUUGAUGUAAGUUGACAGUGGAUGUCUAGAGUCUAAUCAUCUUCGUUGAAAGACUUACUUAUACAUGAGGUUUUGAUAAUGCUUGCAGGGAGAUUAAUCAGUUAAUAGUAAACAUGUUCUCUAAGAAAACAUUUUCAUUUAUUUGUUUAGCUGUAAACAUGGAUGAAAUAAUAUUGAUACCUUUACAAGAUAUUUGCAUUCUAAAUAGUUUGCCGUACAUAUUUCAUAUUAUGUUUAUAAACAAUUUUAACUACCUUGAACUAGUCGCAACAUAUAGAUGUCCUUAAAGUUACCCUAAUUUUAUUAUUAACUUUUUGCCAUAUCCCAAUUGUGCUUGUGCAGUUGUGCUGUAAGAUGGCGCGUAGAAAUACUAACAUGUAUGACAUAUUCAACUUCCUAUAGUCAGGAUUAUUAAUGUGUGUGCCUAUCGUUCAUCAUAUAUAUUCAAAAUAAGCCUUCGUAAUUAGAUAAUCAGAACCUUUACUCGCUUGGUCAUAGUGAAUCAAAGUUAUGGCAAUUUGGUACUUGUAAACUUACAAACUUGUUCGCUGUGUUUAUGAAAUGCAUUCUACUCUGGCAUAUGUUAUCAUUGUUUUAGUCUCUUAGUAGGGUUAUUUGAACUCUUAUGGUUUUGUG
rnacentral:lncRNA from 1 species